CACUUUUUCCCCAAUUUCCCCUCUUUUCCCCCAGGAUCGACUCCAGUGUGGAGGACGCCCAUCUCAACGUGGAGGCGGCUCACGGGGAGCUCCUCAAGUAUUUCCAGUCGGUGACGUCCAACCGCUGGCUGCUGGUCAAGAUCUUCCUCAUCCUCAUCGUCUUCUUCAUCGUCUUCGUCGUUUUCCUGGCCUGAAAUUCCUCCUUUUCCCCCCAUUUCUUCCUCACGGACACGGACACGGGGCCCCCUCCCCGCUUUUUCCAUCCCCCCUCCCCAAUUUGGGGUCUCUCUGCCCGGGCCGGGGUCUCCGGGAGCUUUGGGAAUCCUGGGAGUGCUCUGGGACCCCUCCCCAUGGACCACGGGACCCCCGAAAUGGGGUUGGGGAUCCCUCAGGAGAGCCCUGGACCCCCGAAAUGGGGUUGGGGACCCCUCAAGAGAGCCCGGGACCCCCCCCCGAGAAAGGGGUCGGGACCCCAUUGGUGACCCCAGGGAAUUCGGGGGGAUCCUCUGGGGUUUGGGGGGGCUGCAGGAUCCCAGGUAAAGGUGUGAGACCCCCGGGUGGGGGGGUCUGUGAACCCCACGAGCCUUUGGGGGGGUGCAGGACCCCCCUGAAAACCCCGGGACCCCCAAAAUGGGGGGGGGAGGGGUGGAGCUUGUUAAAACGGUGGGGGGGCUGCGGGACCCCCCUGGGGCCUCCAGCCCCCAAUUAAAGCCUUGGCACCCCCAAAAGGGGGGCUGUGGACCCCAUUAAAGCGAUUUGGGUUCCCCUGGGGGGGCUGCGGACCCCCAAAAUGGGCCUGGGGACCCCCAAAAUGGGCCUGGGGACCCCAUUCAAUUAACGGGGGGGGUGCUGCAGGAGCCCCCUGGGAACAGGAGCCCCCCGUUAAAGCCUUGGGGCCGCCGGGGGGGGUCUGGGGAUGCCCUGAGCCCUUCAGGGAGCCUUUGGGGCGGCCGCAGCCCCCCCCGAACCCC
rnacentral:lncRNA from 1 species